UCACACAAGAGACCCAAAUUAACUGUUAUGCGGCGUAAAGAGUGGUGCUAUGAUAUCAUAACAACUAGGAUUGAAAUGCAACUAGGCUGUCAUAAGCUCAAGAUGUACUUAAGGCCCUCCUUAAGAUGAUCCUAGCACUCCUGAUUGAUUUAACCCCACGAAAGCUAGGGCACAAACUGGGAUUAGAUACCCCAUUAUGCCUAGCCCUAAAUCUUGAUGCUUGCCAUACCAAAGCAUCCGCCUGAGAACUACGAGCACAAACGCUUAAAACUCUAAGGACUUGGCGGUGCCCCAAACCCACCUAGAGGAGCCUGUUCUAUAAUCGAUAACCCACGAUCCACCCGACCACCCCUUGCCAGAGCAGCCUACAUACCGCCGUCGCCAGUUCACCUUCCCUGAGAGCCCCGCAGUGAACACAAUAGCCUAGCCCCGCUAACAAGACAGGUCAAGGUAUAGCCUAUGGGGUGGAAGAAAUGGGCUACAUUUUCUAUAAUAGAAUA
rnacentral:rRNA from 1 species